GGGCAAUGUCUUUGCAGACAGCCAAAUUCUCUCAUACCAGAAGUUUCUCAAGUUGCUCCUGACACAGAAAAAAAAUUCCAUAAACUUUUAAAAUGUUUUUUUUAAUUAUCAAAACUUAAAUCUAAGCAAUCUAAAUCACCAAAGUUUUAUUCUUCUUUCUAGCCACUCACAUGAAAAAGACCAAUUCAAACAACUUGCAGUGGCCCAGGCUUUUGUCCCGUGUUAGCCGCCCCGAGUCCCAGCCAGGAGAUGGAGGCGGGAUAGAAAAAUAAAGUUACUUACUUACUUACUUUUUUGUACACUAGUAUUUAUAUAGACAGAUAAAUGAACCAUUCAAGAUGGAUUAGAAGGUAUCAGCUAAAUCAGAAUUUGAAAUACAAUUGUGUACAGAUGAGGAGCAUUUAAUUGCUAAGAUAUAUAGGUUAUUGUUGGAAAUGAAGGAUAAAAUGUGCUCACAAUAUUGAUCAUAACAUACACAUGGAUCAAUGAGAGAAAAUGUGGACAAAGAGUUAAAGUUUACAUGAAAUUAUGGUCUUAGAGACAACUUUUAUAAUGUGAUUAUUAAUAGCAUUUGAUACCAGAAAUAUUCUCUAAGACAAUUAAAGAUUCUGCUAAUAUUUGUCAGAAAUGUAACCAAAAGUGGGAAACUUUUUAUCAGAUGCGGUAGACAUGUAUUAAUGUGAAAAACACAUUAGAUUCAGAUAC
rnacentral:lncRNA from 11 species